rnacentral:rRNA from 1 species
UACAGAGGUCCCAAGCGUUGUUCGGAUUCACUGGGCGUAAAGGGUGCGUAGGCGGUCGGGUAAGUCUGAUGUGAAAUCUCCAAGCUCAACUUGGAAAUGGCAUCGGAUACUAUUCGGCUCGAGGAAUGGAGGGGAGACUGGAAUACUUGGUGUAGCAGUGAAAUGCGUAGAUAUCAAGUGGAACACCAGUGGCGAAGGCGAGUCUCUGGGCCGUAACUGACGCUGAGGAGCGAAAGCGUGGGGAGCGAACAGG